UGAUUUGGCGCAUGUGUAUCGUAUGGCAUGGGGUCGCUUAUUCCAUUCCAUUUUUGUAGCAUACUGCACAGUACGCGUCUGUCUCCCAACCGUUUCAUACCCAAUCAAUAUCUCACGGUAGUUCCGACGAUAAUUGCAGUGUGAAUUUCUGUCCAUUUGAACAUCACGUAAUGCGUAGUAACGCGUAACCAUCUGCACUUGAUCGAUUUUCACUGACACAGAUCUGACGACGCUACCACUACAGAUAUGGGCGUACGUGAUCGAAUUCGUUUAUCACGAGGAUCAUCGAAUGUAAAAACUCUGCGUUUAAAAAUGUUUAAUGAAAAAUAUAACCGAAAACGUUGAGACGAAAAAGACUGGAAAGACAGUAAGACAUACGCGACAAAGUCCGUCGUGAUCGAUCGACAACAACGACCGUGAUGCUGGCGAUAAUAUUUAAGUAGGGGUGUUAAUUUUGUGGCGUUAAAAAUUGAGGUGGUCUGCACAAGUUCAUUUUCGGCAUGAUAUCGGUUGACGUGGAAAGUUUUCGGAAACCAUUGGGCGGGGAGUUAUGGAGGCUGCUGCUACCAGUCAGCUGUCGCAGGGGUUGCAGCUCGCUCUGCCAUCCCCAGGGAUCCCUGGCCUUGACGUAGUCAGAGCUUUGCACCAGAGCGUAGUGUCACUGAGAGCAGCCCUUGACUCGUCCAGAGAAGAACUCCGGCGUCUAAAAGAAUCUGUUGGUGAUUUUAACGGGGAGAGCUACCUCGAUACGGUGCAACGUCUCGCCCUCGAAAAUCACGUCCUAAGACGCAGAAUACUCGACAAAAGGAACAAAUCACCGAGUGAUACCGAUGCAGUUAGUAUCGCUUCGAAAUCCGAGGUGAAAAAACGGUGCACAAAUCCAGCAGCCGAAGAAUCAGGUAAACCGCAUUCUACGGAAAUAAACGAAACAGUUAAUAUGGAUCCCGUCAAAGAGGAUGCGGAGAACGAGAGCGCUUCAGAAUCGGUAAUCCGAACAGCGGGAGGCGACGAGGUCGCCGGAGGAGCGCAGGGUGCAGAAGUCGAAGAGGAAAAGGUUCGUGAUACCUGCAAGGAGACGGAAGUUCUUCCUACGGGAAAUCUGACAGAGCUCGCCGAUCGCGAACAGGAAGAUUCUAGUUUGAAAUCGGUUUCCGAUGGUGAGAAUUCCGUAUUCGGUGAUAAUCCCGAACAAUUUGACAACGGAAAUCCCGAGAUGAACAGCGACAAUCCGCUGGGAUCAAAACCUUCGGGUGAAUCGGAAAAUGACUCGGAGGAACUCGACGACAUCGAGCUUAUAUUCACUACCGACGACACGAGGGAAGUGAGCCUUCAAGAAGACCUUGUCUCCAUAACCGAAGGAGACACCUGGCCCUCGCUUCGACAUCGGCAAUUCGAUGGGCAGCCGGUACUGCUGAAAUACACGAAGACCGCGGAUCCGGAAGCUCUCCUCAACGGAGACAAAACCAGCUCGUCCGUUGAUGAGGCCGUCUCCUCCCAAAGCUCUAGCAUCGACCGAGAGGAGAGCGUAGACAGAUUCGACGAAGGAUCCGGGGCGCGGCUAAACAAAAUGUGGUCGCAAUGCUCGGUGCUCGUUGAAACGGACAUCAGCAAAUGCGGUGUCCUCGAGGAACCCGAUCCUACCAGGUACGCCGGACGAAGGAACACUCUCGCGGCACCACCCACGGCGUACAGGCCCAUAAUUCACCGGGAGGCGUUGGCGACCGGCAGACGAAAAAGCGCGACUCCUCUUCGCCCGGUGAUGGACCGCAGCGGGGGCGGAAGUCGACGGGAAUCCGGCGCACAGACGGACAUUUCAGCGCUUCCGGCACAGUGGAGAUCGGAGAGCUACUUGGCGCACAAAGUGGCCCACGCUUUCACAACCCUACCGAGCAAAUUCGCCCUUCCUGCCGGCAUUCCCGGCCGACUCAGACUCUCGGACAAAACUAGAGAGGCUCGACGAGUGAUGCUGUCGGACAUCAGCUUCACCAGCAUGGUACCCGAACUGUCGCGCAGCGCCGAUCAUCUCUGUCACGAUCCUCACGCUCAGACUUGCUUGAACGCGCGGGGAUGCGGUCCGAGGACUCCGGAGGUUCACCGUCGCGAGUCUUUGAACUCUCUCGGCGGUUACUGGCCCCGAUGUCACCCGGGAACGAGCCUUCCGAGCCCUUGCGAUUGCCGACUGUCUACCGAUCUCUACUCUUCGCGAUACCGUGGCUCGUUGACCUCCAUCCCAUCGCCCGGGCUCGAAGUUACCGUCGGAUCGUCUCGUAGACAUUCUUGGAGAGCGACCGCCGCCUCUUUCGACACCUGGCGAAUACCUGUCGCUACUUCCACCCCCAGACCUACUUGGUCCUCGAUGCCCUCCUCCCCCACACACGUCCAUCCACCGAACGUACCCGGUGUCUCGUCGUCCCGCUAUCCCGCGAAAAACCCACCCAAAAGGACGAGGUCGAAGGUCACCUUCAAAGACUGCCCGGUGACGCGGGGGAGUCUUCCCAAUCUUCGUUCCGACUCAAUUGGUGCUGACAACAGCGGUGACUCGACAGAAUCUCUGAUUGACGAAGCGGAGGACUACCUCAGACGCAGCAUAGAUUCUAUGCUGACCAUUACCGGAUCGGAGUAUUUUAAUGGUCAGGGAAGCACGCGUCGCCGUAGAACACGACGUCAUUCCGAACCCGACCUUUUACGAGAGUGGAAUCCUCCGCAAGAUGCCCGUCCCUAUUUACCCAAGAUUCCUCGGGACCUGAAACUGAAUCACCUCGUCAAGGUGAUAUCGCCGGAGGGUCGGGUUCUCCAAGGAAGGGUACGAUACGUGGGUCCUGUGCCGGGACGAGAAGAGCCCCACGUUGGGGUCGAACUACCCUCGGACAGCGGCUCCUCGGAUGGAACUUUUCACGGACGCCGGUUCUUCGACUGCGAUCCCGAACGAGCCGUUUUCGUGCCAUUCAAAAAGGUCGUGCUGGCGUGGUGCACCACUUGACACGGGGUACGCUGUCCGGAAUUACCCGGGCCAUCGCCCUUACCGUCACCCAUGCCCACGCCAAGAAUCUUGCUGUCUCAGUACACGAUGUGAAUAAACGUAUCAAAGCUGAGGACGAUUAUACGUAAUCUGAGCGUGGGUGGGCGUUGGGUCGGCUUUAUUCCGAAGUUGGACCACAAAUCGGUACAGAUUUGUACAGUGACGGGAGAGGCGAGCCCUAGGGAAAAUUCGGAUGCAGAAAAUGGUGCGUUUCGUCGAUAUACUCGCACGGUGGAUUAACGGUGUCUUACGAUUUAUCGACGAUAUAUAUUUCUCAACAUUUCCGGGUAAUUCCUGUGGGACGAUCAAAAUGACGUGUGAUUUCAACCUACGUUGAAUGCGCGGUAUGCGCUUGGGUAUGCCUAAACAGUAACGCUGAUAAAAUUCCGCCUCCGAGCUCCGCAUCCAUAACUUAAAAGAUAAAUGGAUACUUGACAUCGCGUUACACAGGGUUAAAUUCUUGCCCGUGUAAAGUACGACGAUCGAUUCACGACAUUACGUUGAAAUUACGAUUAUCGCUCGAGAAAAUUAACGGAAUUCUCAUGCGAUGUUACUAAUGGCUCAGAAUCGGUGGGCCAUUAUACGUUGCUGCGGAAAUCUUGAAUCAUUAUUUCGCAAAUGUUAUACUUGCAAUAAAAAUCUGACAUAUUUUACCUGGAUUGAUCCAAGUAAGAAAUCUGAUCGUGUGCAUGAAUAAACUUACAAUUAAUACGAUAAUGUAUGAACGUUAUUAUAUACCAUAUGAAAAGUUUAUCAGUAUUACGUGCAUAUAAUGUGUGUGUUGAACAAGUUUAUUUCAAAGGUUUUAUAUUUACGUAUAUAUGUAUAUUCCUUAUGCCUAUUGUACGUAAUAUUUUCUCACACUUCCCUCAGUAUUUUAAAUAAUUCUUUCACCUGUGAAACAUUAUGUGUUUAUUGUCCGUUGAUUCGUUAUGGUUUACUGUGAAUCUAAUUAUUCUUAGAGAAGGAGGACUGAAUUUGAAAUAAAUGUUUUUGACAAUGAUGAGCUGUGACGUGAUACACCGAGGAUUUUCUUUUUUUUUUUUUUUUCAGAAACUGAAACGCCACUCACUUACUCGAACAUUUUAUUCGUAUUCGCUGUUACGAGGUAUAAAUUUAUUCUAUCUCUAUUCAUUCUCCUCUUUUGUUCGUUAUUUUCAACUGACUUCAAUGAACGUAUGAUACAUGUGCAAAAUUAUUCACUCAGCAUAAAUUUUACUGUAUUACAAAACAGAUUAUCUAAUAUAUAUGUAUUAUACAUUCGCUGUAUGAUAUGUGGCUAUUUUAUAGCAAGAAGUUAUAGUGGAUUGAACUCACCGGUAAAAUUUUAACGUCGACUUCCUCGAGCAAAAUCACCAGACAAAAUAUCAUGAAUAUCAAUACUUCACUCACGGGUUCAGUUUCGCUCCUUACUGUAGCUGGUCGGUCAAUGAAGACCGUACCUCUAUUGUACACACUAUUGUGUUUAGAGUACUCGAUCAAAACAAAUAGCUGUGCUCGCAGGUGUAGUAUGUAUAUUACGCAUUAAGUUCGUGCGACUUUGAUGUCAAAUAGAGGGCGAGAAUCGUCGUGAACUCGAUUUUAUUUUUUAAUCGAUUUAUCCCCACUGAACUUUCAAGUUCAGAAAUAAAGAAUCAAUCAACCGAUACAACUAAUUACCUGCGUAGCACGAUACCGGAAAUUGACCGAUUGGAGUCAUGUAAUAGAAUAACAUAUGUAUAUAGCUAUGAUAUAAUUACUGGUAUACUGUGGAGGCUGUCCGACGAAAAAAUAUUAUCCUUAUUUUUAUUCGUUUCGGUACACGUCUUCCGAUUCUACUUCUACGAUCAAUUGCUUCAUUCUACUCCUUGGGUAGACCAACCCCAUAUCUGCCCGUUGCACAAGCCCGUAAAUUUUUUGUACAUAUUUUUUCGUUCCUUGUACAACUCACUGUCCGGUGUAAUAAAUAAGUACAAUUACCUAAACGUUAUGUAUAUGUAUAUAUGUACAUGCUCUGUGUAUACAUUGUAUAUGAGCACAAAAUUUGUUAAAAAUCAGAGAACCCUUUGAGAAAGAAGAAAAUCAAACAUCUCUGGUUUUGAAAAAAACUAUGUCGUAAUAUAUGUAACCAUCGGUAUACCUUCGUCACGUAGAAAGAUCUAUUAUACCUGGGGCAUCCUAAAUGCCCCGAUAGAUUUAUGCUCGUGAGCGUCGACCAUAUGUUAUUCGCAUAUACCCAAAUAGAAGUCUGUCGCAAAUCUUCCAAGACCGUAGCGGCCAAAAUCGUUGAAAAAAAUAUAUCGUAAAAAAAAAAAAAAACGAACGGUAGAAAGGCACAUCGAAACUUUGCACGAAUUAAUGGAAUGACCUUUAAUUCAGGAUACAUGAUUCCCCAGAGUAGCCUCAAGCCCUCAUGAAUCGCCCUCCCAUUUUCAUUGAUCUUAAAACAUUACGCGAGAUCACGAAUUAAUCAAUUAUUCGACGAACCAUCAUCGAAAUCCAUGCAGAGUCAAUAACUCUUAGAUUGAAUCACAUUGAAAAUAACACACCGAACGGAUCUAUAAAUCCGCUAGUCGGCUUUUAAAUACCCGCACAAACGGUAAACUUGUCUAUUGAAAAGUGAAAAGAAAAGAGAGAAAAAAAAAUUAUACAGCGAUGGAAUUGUUAUACCUACCAUUUACCAUAUGUAUAAA
rnacentral:misc_RNA from 1 species